rnacentral:snoRNA from 1 species
AUAAUUCCAUAAGCAUGAUGAUUAGGUGUUAACGCUAUUGUAUGAGAUGUGCCUCCCUUGACAUCAGCACAUUACUGUCUUGACC